rnacentral:misc_RNA from 1 species
CCGAGUUUUCAACUCCCAAACCCCCUGUGAACUUAUACCAUUUUACCGUUGCUUCGGCGGGUUUUUCGCCCCGGAACAGGCCAACGCCUCCCUCUCCCCGAGGGCGGCGCGGCCGGCCCGGAACCAGGCGCCCGCCGGGGGACCCAAACUCCUGUACUUCUCACCUGUGGCAUGUCUGAGUGGAAUCAUUUACAGAAUGAAUCA